AAUGAACGUUGGCGGCGUGGAUUAGGCAUGCAAGUCGAGCGAGAACCCGCAAGGGGGACAGCGGCAAACGGGGUAGUAAUGUGUCGGAACGUGCCCUCUGGACGGGGAUAGCGGCGGGAAACUGCCGGUAAUACCCGAUGAACUCGAGAGAGCAAAGGUGUGAUUCCGCCGGAGGAGCGGCCGACAUGGGUAUUAGCUAGUUGGCGGGGUAACGGCCCACCAAGGCUGUGAUGCCUAGGGGAUGUGAGAGCAUGAUCCCCACCAUUGGGACUGAGACACUGCCCAGACACCUACGGGUGGCUGCAGUCGAGAAUCUUCGUCAAUGGGCGAAAGCCUGAACGAGCGACGCCGCGUGCGGGAUGAAGGCCCUUGGGUUGUAAACCGCUGUCGAGGGGGAUGAAGUGUACGAGAGUUAUCUCUUGUAUUUGACAGAGCCUCAGAGG
rnacentral:rRNA from 1 species